rnacentral:rRNA from 1 species
GGGAGUGCGGCGUACUAAUACAUGCAAGUCGAGCGAAUGGAUUAAGAGCUUGCUCUUAUGAAGUUAGCGGCGGACGGGUGAGUAACACGUGGGUAACCUGCCCAUAAGACUGGGAUAACUCCGGGAAACCGGGGCUAAUACCGGAUAACAUUUUGAACCGCAUGGUUCGAAAUUGAAAGGCGGCUUCGGCUGUCACUUAUGGAUGGACCCGCGUCGCAUUAGCUAGUUGGUGAGGUAACGGCUCACCAAGGCAACGAUGCGUAGCCGACCUGAGAGGGUGAUCGGCCACACUGGGACUGAGACACGGCCCAGACUCCUACGGGAGGCAGCAGUAGGGAAUCUUCCGCAAUGGACGAAAGUCUGACGGAGCAACGCCGCGUGAGUGAUGAAGGCUUUCGGGUCGUAAAACUCUGUUGUUAGGGAAGAACAAGUGCUAGUUGAAUAAGCUGGCACCUUGACGGUACCUAACCAGAAAGCCACGGCUAACUACGUGCCAGCAGCCGCGGUAAUACGUAGGUGGCAAGCGUUAUCCGGAAUUAUUGGGCGUAAAGCGCGCGCAGGUGGUUUCUUAAGUCUGAUGUGAAAGCCCACGGCUCAACCGUGGAGGGUCAUUGGAAACUGGGAGACUUGAGUGCAGAAGAGGAAAGUGGAAUUCCAUGUGUAGCGGUGAAAUGCGUAGAGAUAUGGAGGAACACCAGUGGCGAAGGCGACUUUCUGGUCUGUAACUGACACUGAGGCGCGAAAGCGUGGGGAGCAAACAGGAUUAGAUACCU